AUGUUUAUCCUGUGCCAGCAACUGGAGAGACAAGACCAAGAAGGGAAGGACUGGCAGCAUGGGGACCCCCCUCCAAGCACUUCUGCCUGAAGGGAGACAGGCCUGCAGGAAGCUGAGGUGGUAGAUAAAGAAUUUUAAAAUAACACCAGCCUGACCCUUUUUGAAAGGGGGAGUAUUUCUGAACCCUGAGAGAAAGUUAAGAAGCCAUCUUGUAUUGAGUUCAGUGAGGAGAAUGGGAGAGUCAGGAGAAAGGAAGCAGUGAAUCAGGAGAUGCACCUGAGGGGAACAAGAUUAGCUUAAGAGUGCAUAAAUUUCUUCACACCAGUCAAAUAACUAAUAAUUAAUUGUGUACAUAGAGGAGGAAGGUGGCAGAUACCCUAUUGAACCUGGACAUAAAGGCUGUCCAGCUGAUUGCACCUUUGUUAUGAAAGUGUUUUAGACUCCCUAAACUGGAUCAUGACUCAGUGGCUCAACCCUCACACUACAUAGGUCCUCAUUGUUUAAACUUGGCAUUUUGUAACAGCAGAGGCAUUCCACUAUUAGUCAGCUGGCAGAGAGUGGGUAGCAGAGCAGUAUCAUUCUAGACACUUACAAAGGUGUAGAAGAAAUGAAGUUGCCAUCAUUUCAGUGCUAUGCUUUGAGGAGCCUGUUUACCAGAAACAAAGCUCUCUGAUUCCCCUCUGUUAAGUGAGAUCAGUCAUUCCCCAUACAGUGAGGAUCAGAUGUUUCUAAACAGUAUUUUAAAGAUCUAGCACUAAAGAAGUGCUAAUGAUUACUACAGUAUAUUGUUUGGGGGAGGGGACAUUACUACAGUGUACUAUAAUAUUUAAUUGAGGAGGCUCUUCAUCUCAUUUAUUAGAGGCUGUUUUGUCAUCAAUCAACACAGUGCCUGGCUUGUGGGGAAUUCCCGCACUCCAAAAAUGAAGCAGGUUUGCAGCCUGUGGGACACAUCCACAAAAAUCCAUUCUGAUCUGAAAGUGUGGUUCUGCUACAAAAAUUGCAUAUUCUAAUCUCCUUACAUUGCAGAACUGCUGCUUUGUGUAUCAGUGUCUGAGCUGCUUUCUUUAGUGACUAAAAUCAAGGUUUUUUUAUGCCACUUUACUGCUAUUAACUCUUCAGAUCCAACUCAGCUGUGCGAGUGAGCUUGCAGCUGUUCCUUCUCAAUAUUGUUAUUACUAAGUAUCAGUUACCAGGCCAGACAGUCAUUCUUGAGCAAACCCAGUGAAGGCAGUAGGUUAGGAUAGGUGUCAUUAGGAGCUUAAUUGGAGGAGUUUAGGUUGCAUUGGUUUUACCUGAGGGCUGAUUUUGGUAGCAAUCCGUGAGAAGGAAAGAAGCCAGCUUGACUCUCAGAUCUAAGGAUGAGUUUACAGGACUGGCACUUAUGAAAAAAAAAAUCACUUGCAAGCUGAGCACAUUUGACGUGGAAGUCAGAGAAACGGCCACACUGUCCAUUUGUACAGUCCCUUUUCGGAGAAAUGAACGCUGGCUGCAGUUUGAGAAAUCUAACAGUAGGUGGCAGCAGAUCACAACUUCCAGAGCUAGUUUCUCAUUGAAAAGUUGACAGGCCCUUUGGAGAAGAUCUCUUGGGUGGGCCCUGCAUCAUGGCUUGUCAAGACAAUUGGUGCUUUGGAGCCCCCUGCUUGGAAAAUGCUGCUGACCCUGUGCAGUGAGUCUUCAUCUGGUGGAGCCUUCAUCUGUUCUUACACCGAAGAGCAAAGAGCAGGGAUAAAGGUAUAAUGAUAGAUGGAUGAAUGGUACUUUUGCCUUCCUUUAUAUGCCAUGAGGAACAGACUGCAGGGUAGUUUGACACCUGACAGAUUUUGGAAACCAUUAUUUCCUAUUACACAAAGGGAAAGAAUAAAUAAGCAUAAUGCUGUGCAUGUCAGAAGGAAGCCACCAGGCUGUGUCAGCUGUACUGAGCAUGCAAUGUUUGAUCAUGCACUAGUCAUCAAUGGUACCACGUAACACUGCAAGCUGUUGCAACAAGUAGAAUCUAUCUGGGUGACACAGAUAGUCCAAAGCCCCAUGUUGAUUGGCUGGUUAGGCCUGUGUUGUCACAGCGAUGAACCAGUUCUCUCCAAUGCACAGCUGGGACAUUGUCUCUGAUACCAGAAGAUCGCACCGAUUGUGAGCAACAAAUAUUAGGAACGGAUACCCAGGUUCUCCUCUCUCUCUCUCCAUUAAGGACAUCAGCAACUAGAAGGAAAGGAAACAUACCUGCCUAAACAGACCUGGAGAGAGCUGGAUGUUACAGCCAAACCAAAAGUCUGUCUUGGCUUCUACAGCUACAGAGACUCGUUCAGUGGGAGUGAAAUUCAUCCCAUGCACAAGAGCCAGUCUAUACACCACUACACUCUUCCCCAUCAACAGAAAGAUUACUUCCCCAAAGCGAGUCGGAGAAUAGUAUUUUACCAGGCAUAUUUACCUAUAGAGCUUUAACUGUAAAAUUAGAGCUGGGCAAAUCAAUUUGUGUCAUAGGUUUCCUAGUCACAACUCCUUAAUAUUUAGUGUAUGUCCUCUUGUGAGCAGAGCUUUCAGCAAUGUUGCCAACUCUCGUGAUUUUUAUCAAGAGCUUUGAAAUAUUUGGUGAUGUAUUUAUAAUCCAAGCUGCUGAAGGCAAGUGAUUGCAGGAGAAGUUUUGCUUUUGUUUUAAAAAGCUUCCAGCCUUUUUGAUUGCGGAGAAUAACUUGAAAAUGCUAUCUAAAUCCACCCUAAAGGCUCAAAAGCCAGAUGGCAAAUAAAAACCUAAUGGUGACAUAAAAGCCUCAUGAUUUUUAAGCCACUUGUAGUUUUUGGGGUCCAGAAUCAUGGUUUUUUGAACAUUUGCGGUUGGCAAUAAUGGAAACUCGGCUCCAAGGAAUGAAGUGGCCAAGAAGUACAACUGUUUGUUAAUGGUGUUAGAAAGUCCUCAUUUUCCAGCCUCUUUGUGUUUCUAUGCUAUCUCUGAAAUCAGGACCUGCUAUAGUAGCAGCACCAGGGGUCUUGGAAGCUGCCGUUAAAUGGUGAAUUUAUUUCCACCUUGAGAACAGCCCAGAGUUGGCUAUUGAGCUUCUACAGUUGGAAUUUAGUCCAAUACAGCUACAGUAUUAAGAAGUGAGCUACAUCCAUGGAUCAGAAUUGCUAACUAGCUCAGAUUCAGAAUCCAUUCUUGAAGGUUAGACCUGGUAGAAUACAGCCAAUAUUUUUUCCAAAUUUCCUUCAAUGGUAUCCAUAAUCUUUGAAUUUGCUUUUCACAAGUGUGUGUCAAAUUUGUAUUUGCGUAAGUAUGUGCCCCAGUGCUAAUGUGGGAAUCUUAACAUUCUUUAAGUAGGCUAGCUCCUGUAGUCAGGGAACAGAACCAAGCAAUAUAGGUGACCAAUCACUGCUCAGAUAUCAAACCACAAAUACUAAAUACUUGAAUUUUUGAAGUGAACCAUUCACAAAGCAAUCUAUAGGCAGGCUUUUGUUUGAUCACAACAUGGUAUUUAUGGAUGCUGUGUAUUACUGCAUUUUUAUCUAUUCAUAGUGAGUUUUUAGACAAUUCACAAACCAGGAAAAAGGCUACAUGUGUCUAAUGAAUGGUUCACGUGAAUUAUUCUCCCAGCUCUAGAGAUUAGCAGAAUAGAAAAAACAGAACUUGAUUUCUGGAAGCCAUUGUGAGUAUACAGCCCAGACAAUAAGAAAAGCCUUGCCUGAUUCCCAAAUUUAAUCUGGAAGCUGAUGUUGGAAGACUAAGUAUCAAGACAUUCUUACUGAGGUACUAGUUUAAAAGCAGCAGGACUUUGGUUUUGGCUGUGUCGAUAAACUCUAAUGUCUUAACAAGGGUUGUUAACUCAGCUAUGGCAGAGCCAUAUUGUAACAUUGUU